AGUUGGCCUUGGUUCGAAGAGCUAAGGGCGGGGCCCUUCUAAAUCCGAGCCGCGUUUUAGGACCCGGGAAUCUCUCCGAGCAGAAGAUUCGGGUUUGGCCAGACUGCGCAGGAGCCUGAGUCUGAGCCCCGACAAGCUUGUGUAAGAGGACAUUAGCCCAGCUGCUUCUGCUGUAUCCUGAGAAACUGUAUUAACAGUAAUCAGCACAUCCAGCUGGGACCAGAGAAAAUAGACCCAUGGGAGACAAUGCAUCUAGUUGGGAGGAAAAGGACACCGGGAGAACAAACAAAUGCAGAAAGACAUUUCAUGUGAGGAAGAAAAUACCUUUGAGGACCAUGACUGCAUCAGAGCAGAAUUCUGACUCAAGAAAGGACUUCUGACCUACAAAGUAUCAGAUAGGUGAUCUCCAUCAGACCUAGGAGUUCAAUCCAUGGAGACCUUGGAGCCAGGAUUCCAGAUCUCUGCAGGUUGAUAAGUAUGAUUAGCAGCAAUACCUAUCAAUGGAUCACUGGAUACUUCCAUAACGAGAUGAUGAGAUGUUGCAGCCACCCAGGCCAUCAGGGAGGUGUGGAGAAGUCAGUGUGCCUGGUAUUUGAGCCUGAGGGGGCUUUGGGCUUGGAACUGGGACUAUGUACCCUCUCCUCCCAUCUUCCUCAUCUCCUACCACUCAGGUGCCUUCUGCCUCUCUCCUCCUUCACUCCUGCCUCAUGUGAAGAAGUGUGCUUACUCCUGACCAAGGACAAACCCUCUACCUGUUUAAGUGGUCCCAUUCUAUCCCAUCUCCUCCUACAGAUUGCCCCCUCUGUCUUCCCCAUACUUUCCCUAAUCUUCAAUCUCUCUGUCUGUCUCUCUCUCCCUCCCUCCCCUCUUUCCUUAUUGCUUGCAAACAUACCCAUGUCUUCCCUAUCCCUGAAAAACCCCUCACUUGAUCCUUCCAUUCCUGCUAACUGUUUUCCUAUAUCUCUCUUGCCAUUUGUAGCUUAAAUUCCUCAAAAAGGCCAUCUACAAUAGGUGCCUCCACUUUCUCUCCUCUAACCCUAAAUUCUUUUCCUAACCCCUUGCAAUCCAGCUUCCACCCUCAGCAUUCCACUGAAAUUGUUCUCUCCAAAGUUACUAAUGAUCUCUUAGUUGCUAAAUCUAAUCUUAGUGGCCUUUUAUCAAUUCUUAGUCUCCUUGACCUCUCUGUAGCCUU